GACGAACGCUGGCGGCGUGCCUAACACAUGCAAGUCGAACGGGGUUAUUAAGAAUAGUUUACUAUUUUUAAUAACCUAGUGGCGAACGGGUGAGUAACGCGUGGGCAACCUACCCGCAAAUCUGGGAUAACUUCUCGAAAGGGGAGCUAAUACCGGAUGUGUUUAGGAAGUCGCAUGACUUUCUAAAUAAAGGUGGCGCAAGCUGCUGUUUGCGGAUGGGCCCGCGUCCCAUUAGCUAGUUGGUGAGAUAACAGCCCACCAAGGCGACGAUGGGUAGCCGGCCUGAGAGGGUGGCCGGCCACACUGGGACUGAGACACGGCCCAGACUCCUACGGGAGGCAGCAGUGGGGAAUAUUCCGCAAUGGGGGAAACCCUGACGGAGCAACGCCGCGUGAGCGAAGAAGGCCUUUGGGUUGUAAAGCUCUGUCUUCAGGGAAGAAACCUUAAGAGAGGAUAAUGCUCUUAAGCUGACGGUACCUGAGGAGGAAGCCCCGGCUAACUACGUGCCAGCAGCCGCGGUAAUGAGU
rnacentral:rRNA from 1 species